rnacentral:rRNA from 1 species
UGGGGAAUAUUGGUCAAUGGGCGAGAGCCUGAACCAGCCAAGUAGCGUGCAGGAUGACGGCCCUAUGGGUUGUAAACUGCUUUUAUAUGGGAAUAAAGUGAGGGACGUGUCCCUUAUUGCAUGUACCAUACGAAUAAGGACCGGCUAAUUCCGUGCCAGCAGCCGCGGUAAUACGGAAGGUCCAGGCGUUAUCCGGAUUUAUUGGGUUUAAAGGGAGCGUAGGCUGUUUGUUAAGCGUGUUGUGAAAUGUAAGAGCUCAACUUUUAGAUUGCAGCGCGAACUGGCAGACUUGAGUGAGCACAACGUAGGCGGAAUUCAUGGUGUAGCGGUGAAAUGCUUAGAUAUCAUGACGAACUCCGAUUGCGCAGGCAGCUUACUGUAGCAUAACUGACGCUGAUGCUCGAAAGUGCGGGUAUCAAACAGG